AUCACUAGAAUGAAAAUAAAUGUAUACAAAAGUGAAUAAACCCAUAAUAGCAAGAUAAUAGGAGUAAGGGCCAACAGUGAACUAAGGCUAUUAAUACAAUUCUGGCAGACAAAAAGCAGAUGUGUGUGGUGACAAGGGAGACAAAGCAGAAAUAACUACAAGCCAGAAUAACAGAGACUCUGUUUAAAAAGCCAUAUCUGGGGCAAUUUUCUGGGGGCUCCAGGAAGAGGCGCCGCAUAGCGUCAGCAAGGACUCAAAAGGAGCACUUCCCAGUGAAGCAAAAGAGUGGCGUAAUAAUUGGAGAACCCUCACGACGUGUCAGCCCCACCACGGCCCCAUAAAUGUAGCAUGAGUGCGAGCUUGAAAUUUGUAACAUGAGAUGAAAACUGGAGAAGCAUCCCUAAAAUAUAUGAACCAAUCUGCCUAGAAAUAGCUAGGAAUCUGCCACCAGAAAGAUGAAUAAAAUAAAAGAUUGAAGAAGUAGCAAGUAGCAGUAUGGAAGACUUGUGGCUAAGAUAUGUGUCUUGGGAAAAAGAAGGGCUGAAUGUUAACACAACUAAGGGUCUCACUGAUUCCCCAAUGAAGCAACUUCACGGGGGAACCCCUCUAAGAGAUUUUCUCUCUGCAUUCACAGAAGACACUUCGCACUGUUAUGCACCAGGAGGAUUGACUGUCUCUGUGGCUUGGAGGCAGUUAUACGUAGCAGCAGCAGCAGCAGCAGCAGCAAAAGUUAACAGGAGCCGGAGUCUGUCUUCAAAGAGCAGUCAGUAGAGAUGAAGAGUAGAUUACUGAUUCCAUAGUACAUGUCAGAUACUGCCUAGGGACUUCCUAAGUAGAGGUCAAGGUCCCACUGUUAUACAGUGUAUAAAUUCACAGAAGUCAGAAGCUGAAUGCAGUCACAAAGAGAGCAAAGCACUUUGUAAAGUGAACUCAAUACCCCCGUUGGGGCUCAGAAAACAGUACCCCAAAGUGAAGUCCUCAGAAGCAGCCCCAAAAGAACCCCGCCUUUUUGUGUAACAGUUGGCCAUAAAGAAAUUAAGACCUUCAUUCCAGAGAGUCCUAUUGCAUGCCUGAGAGGGAGGAAGGCUGCACAGAGACGCCAAGAAGCUGGACAGUCCUUGCUGGGUUUCCCCACUCAGUCUUUAAGCAUUCGAUCAUACCCCUUCUGUCCAGUUGUAUUUUACAUGGCUGUCCAUACAUCAUUGAAUGUCAGUGUAAAAAUGGAUUGUUUUCCCUGUAUCUUUGGGUCUUUAUUCUGAAGUCUCUUUUAAAACUAUGAUCAA
rnacentral:lncRNA from 1 species